rnacentral:rRNA from 1 species
GACGAACGCUGGCGGCGUGCUUAACACAUGCAAGUCGAACGGAAAGGCCUGCUUUCCCUUGUGGAUUGCGGGUACUCGAGUGGCGAACGGGUGAGUAACACGUGAGUGAUCUGCCCCCAACUUGGGUAUAAGCCUGGGAAACUGGGUCUAAUUCCCGAUAGGACUGCAGGGUGGUGCCUGUGGUGGAAAACGAUUUUCUAGUGGUUGGGGAUGAGCUCGCGGCCUAUCAGCUUGUUGGUGGGGUAAUGGCCUACCAAGGCGGCGACGGGUAGCCGGCCUGAGAGGGUGGACGGCCACAUUGAGACUGGGAUACGGCCCAGACUCCUACGGGAGGCAGCAGUGGGGAAUAGUGCACAAUGGGCGGAAGCCUGAUGCAGCGACGCCGCGUGGGGGAUGACGGCCUUCGGGUUGUAAACUCCUUUCGACCGCGAGGAAGCCACCUGGUUGGAAGGGUGGUGACGGUAGUGGUAGAAGAAGCACCGGCUAACUACGUG